rnacentral:rRNA from 1 species
GAUAUCAAUUAGUUAGUUAAUACUAGUUCACGAAGGGCAAUGAGCUAAUUAAAUCAAAAUAGUAGAUUUUAAUUUAUAUGUGGCAUCAUAUAAGGAUUAGGUUUAGUUAGGGGUGAUAGGCUUAUCAACUUGUUAGAUAUCUUGAUCCACAGGAAAAAUAUUAAGUAUUAGAUCAAUAAAGAAAUGGUUAGGUUUCUUUAGAACAUAAAUUAAAUUUACUUGCGCGUGGUAUACUUAAUCGUUACUGCUCAUAGUUAAUUAUAAUAUUAUAUUAAAAGAUUAUGAAAUUUUACUGUAGAAAUUUGCUGGUUAGUUAGUUAAUUAUUUAAUGAUAACAUUAGUAUUAUAAGAUGUUUUAUAAAGGAACUCGGCAAAAAUUUGCUCAACUGUUUAACAAAAACAUAGCUAAAUGUUAUUAUAUUUAGUUUUUUCUGCUCAAUGAUUUAUCUAAAUAGCCGCAGUA